AAUUUUAUUUUUGAAAACUUUUCGAUCUUGUAAUACUUUUUAAACUUUUCAAAAGUAGUUGCAACUAAGAAAGCAUUAUUGAUUAUUUCGAUUUGAAAAAUGAUUAAAUAAUCAACACUAAACAAAAUUGUGAAAACAAACAUUAUCAUAGAUCUCUUCUGAAUCCUUCUUUUCGGAUGCUUUGAGAAAUGGUGUGGUCGAGGUGGUGGUUGGUGGUGAUACUGCCCUCCGGAUUGUGUGGAUUGUACAAGACGCGUAUGUUAUGCGAUUCGGUCUGAUAUCAAAAGUUAUAGCAGUUAUACAUAUGCAUGUGGAAAGAACGAGAGUGUAUGGUGCAAGACAAGGACCGAAAAGUCCAACAGUUAUAUCGAUAACUGUGAUGUGCCUUCAUUUCGGAGAUACAAUAUGCCAAAAGCAAUUAAAAUCCAGCACAUCGCCUGCGUCCUUUUGGAAUUUAUCGGGUGGACAUAUACCAUUUAUAUAUAGAUAUACACAGAUAGAGAAAUAGAGAGAGAAAGAGAAAGAGGACGGACGCAGGGGACUCUUCGCUCAGCAAAAUUAAUGUGACACGCUUUCAACUGAACCCAGCAGACAUUUACGCCGUUGGUAUGGGUGUGUGUCGGGUUUUAGUAAUACAGUGACUGCAAUUUGUUCAGCUACUCGCGUGUCGCCCAGCGCAAAGACAGACAGAUUGGUGGACUAAGUUAAGUUUUAAUCAUAAUUUGGGUUUCUUUUCGCAAACACCUAAAGCCCAUCAAAAUUAAUAACGAAAACUGGUAGCUAUUUUCUUUUUUGUACUCUCUUCAAACGAACGCGUGCAUUGUAUGUUGACAGUUUUACAUUUAGAGCAAUAUUGAAAUUAAAUCACAUCAAAUAACCGAUAAUCGAUAAUAAAUGACCACCACCAGUUGA
rnacentral:sRNA from 1 species